UACGGAGGGGGCUAGCGUUGUUCGGAAUUACUGGGCGUAAAGCGCACGUAGGCGGCUUUGCAAGUCAGAGGUGAAAGCCCGGGGCUCAACCCCGGAAUUGCCUUUGAGACUGCAUCGCUAGAAUUGUGGAGAGGUAAGUGGAAUUCCGAGUGUAGAGGUGAAAUUCGUAGAUAUUCGGAAGAACACCAGUGGCGAAGGCGACUUACUGGACACAUAUUGACGCUGAGGUGCGAAAGCGUGGGGAGCAACAGG
rnacentral:rRNA from 1 species